ACAAAAAGAAAAAGAUCUGCGGCAAUGUGACCGAGCUGAAGAUACUGAACGAUACGCUGCAGAAGGAAAACAUCGCUAAAGACAGGGAAAUCCGAAGGCUAAACAAAGAUGCGCAGCAGUACGAGCAAACAAUAAUAAAUCUUAGAAACGAAAUGUCGGCCAGCAAACAUUAUAAUCCAGGCGUCCCGAAAAAAGACGCGGAAGUCAUGGCCGGCAUGUGUUGCACCGGAAACGAGUGCGGCGACUGGGAGCCGGUGCGCGAGACCAGCCUGGCGCUGCGCGAGGAGUCUGUCAAGUGCCAGGAGCGCAUGCAGAAGAUGGAGUGCAGC